rnacentral:rRNA from 1 species
GUGGGGAAUAUUGGACAAUGGGGGGAACCCUGAUCCAGCCAUGCCGCGUGUGUGAAGAAGGCCUUUUGGUUGUAAAGCACUUUAAGCGAGGAGGAGGCUACCGAGAUUAAUACUCUUGGAUAGUGGACGUUACUCGCAGAAUAAGCACCGGCUAACUCUGUGCCAGCAGCCGCGGUAAUACAGAGGGUGCAAGCGUUAAUCGGAUUUACUGGGCGUAAAGCGCGCGUAGGUGGCCAAUUAAGUCAAAUGGUCAAUCCCCGAGCUUAACUUGUGAAUUGCAUUCGAUACUGGUUGGCUAGAGUAUGGGAGAGGAUGGUAGAAUUCCAGGUGUAGCGGUGAAAUGCGUAGAGAUCUGGAGGAAUACCGAUGGCGAAGGCAGCCAUCUGGCCUAAUACUGACACUGAGGUGCGAAAGCAUGGGGAGCAAACAGGAUUAGAUACCCUAGUAGUCC